AAAAUAUUUAAGUGCCUUCGAACGGGGUAUGGUAGUAGGUGCCAGGAGCAUGACACAAACCACACUCUAACAAUUAGGGGUUCAACAAGGAUUAUUCUAAGAUCCUCGAAGUUUGAUAAGACAGCAGGUGCAGGCAUUUAACUGAAAAAUGUAGAGAUCUCCUCAAUUUAAGGUAAGGUUUGUCCCUUGCAUGAACUAAAUUGAUAUUGUUUUAUGAUGAUACCAUCUAUCUGUUCAUAUUUGUGCCAAUCUUUCUAAAACAGAAAAUGGACACAAUUCAAUGGAUAUCAACCAACAAAGAGGUACACAGACGAGGAGGCAUACAAAGAUAUGGCAAUUGGUAUUGAUUUCACCCUCCCUACACCUCUGACGAAUAAAACAGAAAACCUGUUAGAUCACCAAGCGCUGCAAAAUCAUUCUAGCUAUGGAUACAGAGAACAUCAAC
rnacentral:lncRNA from 1 species